AAGCUUGCUUUUUGCAAGUUAGUGGCGGACGGGUGAGUAACGCGUGAGCAACCUGCCUUGUAUUGUGGGAUAACACAGGGAAACUUGUGCUAAUACCGCAUGAGGCGCGGAUACCGCAUGGUAACUGCGUUAAAGAGAGAUUGAUGCAAGAUGGGCUCGCGUAUGAUUAGGUAGUUGGCGGGGCAACGGCCCACCAAGCCUACGAUCAUUAGCCGAACUGAGAGGUUGAACGGCCACAUUGGAACUGAGAAACGGUCCAGACUCC
rnacentral:rRNA from 1 species